GCUGGGUGCAGUGUGCCCGCCUGUAAUCCAGCCACUCAGGAGGCUGAGGCAGGAGGAUGGCGAGGUCAAAGCCAGCCUCAG
rnacentral:sRNA from 1 species